rnacentral:lncRNA from 1 species
UUUUUUCAUUUUCACCUUUUAUUUCUUUUUCCUCCUCUGUCCUACUCCCCUUCCCCCUCCACCACUUCACACCACCAUUCUCUCCACCCAAGGUCUAAAAUCCUGCAAAUUUGGAGUACCAUAAUAUAAGAGGUAGUGGGUUGGUUUGUAUUUUUAUGCAUUGCUACAAAUCUAGUCCCCUACGGGAAAAAUGGGCACCACAACAUCAGCCAUCAAAGACCCAAAAAUUGGGCAAAGGAAUUCUACAGAUGGGUCUCAUUUUUGCUAUGAUUUCAGGGAGAAAGAAGAAGAGGACUUGUAGUUGGAGAUUUUCCAUUUCUGAAACUUGCCAUUUUCACUUAUUUGAUUUGUCUACUUUUUCAAGAAUUUUAUGGUGGAAGCUUAUGAAAUUCGUGAAAUUUUUUCUUGGAUUUUUGGGUGAAUUUGGAUUUUGGGGCCAUUGUUGUGGAAGAAUCUUUGGAGACAAAGUCGCAGGCGGUGGUGGUGACUAGCGGUGGUAGAGAGAGAUGGCAGAGGAAAAGAGGGAGAGGGUAUGAAUAAUUUUUGCUAUGAUCUCAAGAAGGCAGAAGAAAGAGGACUUGUAGUUGGAGAUUUUCCAUUUCCGAAACUUGCCAUUUUCACUCAUUUGAUUUGUCUACUUUUUCAAGAAUUUUAUGAUGGAAGCUUAUGAAAUUCAUGAAAUGGCC